UCCUGUUCGCGAACCAUGAGAUUUGCUGGUCGCUCGCGAUUUCUGGAAUUUUUAAUCGUUUCAAUAUUCGGAGUAGGCGGUGGAUUUUACAUUUUUCAGCCGGCAUUUAGACAAUAUCGGCAGGAACACAUCGAUGCCUCCAAACAAGCAUCAUUGAAUAAAGAUUCAACACAGUCCUAGAUUUCGAAACAGAAUGUCUUUGGGUGCGUUAACGAGAAUGUUGCAAAUGCUGAAAGCAUCUCCAGUGGCCGUCGUUGGAGGCACUAUCCUCAUAACUGGUUCUCUGCUUUAUACGUAUCGUGCGAUUUACAGCCCAUUCGUAUCCCGCAGAAGAAGAGAGGAGUCUGAAGCUAUGGCGGACUAUAUUUUCCGCAAGGAGCAAUUAAAAGAACCACGAUAAUGAGAUCAUGUUUUUGCAUACUGUUUAGCAUCUAAUAAACUAUGUAGCAUAAUAAACAAACUUUAAAUUUCUUAC